AUGAACUAUGCAAGUUACUCAUCUAUUCAUGUGUCAUAUAUGCAAAAAUCAAGGGAAGUAAAAAUGGAUGACAUAUACAUAUACAACAUGUACACCUUGUCUCUUUUGUUAGCCACAUUUCAGAUUAAGCAACGCCGAGGACGGCUUUAUUUUAAAGAAGGGGAGGAUGAUGAGGACAUGACUACCUUGGAUAUGACCAAAAAUAUUGCAUAUAUGCAUAUUUGUCAGGUGAUUUCUAGUGCAAACUAUUCAAUAAUCUAUUUAUGUUAUCCAGAACAAAAAUACUUCACACACUUUUGUGUUUUGUCUAAUUGCAGGUGUAUGAGACAUUUGUACAAUCCACAUAUGAAGAUAAGGAAGAAAGAGAUGUUUAUUUGCUGUCCAAAAAGUUCUCUCACGUCACUUUUGGCCCAAGAGAAGAUAGAGUCCAAGUCUCUCACGUUCUGA
rnacentral:rRNA from 1 species